rfam:Bacillus endophyticus strain Hbe603, complete genome.
CCGUGCUAGGCGGGGAGGUAGCGGUGCCCUGUACUCGCAAUCCGCUCAAGCGAGGCUGAAUCCCUUCUCGAGGCUAGUCUGCUUUAGGGUCUGCCUUAAGUAAGUGGUGUUGACGUUUUGGUCCUACGCAAUGAAAAUCCAUGAACCCUGUCAGGUCCGGAAGGAAGCAGCAGUAAGUGGAACCUUUCAUGUGCCGUAGGGUUGCCUGAACCGAGCUAACUGCUUAAGUAACGCCUGGGGCAACUAGUCGACAGAAGGUGCACGG